rnacentral:rRNA from 1 species
GAUGAACGCUGGCGGCGUGCCUAAUACAUGCAAGUCGAGCGAACAGACGAGGAGCUUGCUCCUCUGACGUUAGCGGCGGACGGGUGAGUAACACGUGGAUAACCUACCUAUAAGACUGGGAUAACUUCGGGAAACCGGAGCUAAUACCGGAUAAUAUAUUGAACCGCAUGGUUCAAUAGUGAAAGACGGUUUUGCUGUCACUUAUAGAUGGAUCCGCGCCGCAUUAGCUAGUUGGUAAGGUAACGGCUUACCAAGGCAACGAUGCGUAGCCGACCUGAGAGGGUGAUCGGCCACACUGGAACUGAGACACGGUCCAGACUCCUACGGGAGGCAGCAGUAGGGAAUCUUCCGCAAUGGGCGAAAGCCUGACGGAGCAACGCCGCGUGAGUGAUGAAGGUCUUCGGAUCGUAAAACUCUGUUAUUAGGGAAGAACAAAUGUGUAAGUAACUAUGCACGUCUUGACGGUACCUAAUCAGAAGGCAACGGCUAACUACGUG